AAAAACUUAGGUUAACCAAACCAAGGCCCUUCAAAGGCCUAAAUAGGGACUAUAACUCCUUAGUUUUUG
rnacentral:tRNA from 1 species